rnacentral:snoRNA from 1 species
AAGAGUCUAUUUUCAUGGACCAGUUCUGUAUUUCAUUACUAGGACGUUCCUGGGACCGUGUAGAACACUGGGAACCAGGAGGAGGAGGUGCAGCCUUCCUUGCUAAGCGUGAAGGUGUGGUUUAAACAACAGGUCUGUCUUUGACCUUUAAUGGCCAUUCUUCCUCCUUUGGAGGGAAUAGUCUGAAUUGU